AGAUGGUUUAAUGCUACAGCCAGUGGUGUAUUAACCAUUAAGUAGAGUAAGCACAUGCUUAGGGCACCAGGCCCAAAGGGGGCACCACAAAGUUGAGACUAUGGCUUCGUUUGUACGGUAUGUACUAAGGAGGGGGGGGGUACCAAGAUUUUUCAGU